ACUUAUACUCUGAGUGGAGGGAAGCAAUGCAGAUAAAGUCAAUUGCUCUAUGACACAAACAAAAAUGCUCAAUGAUGGAUUGAAACGAAACCGUUCCCACUGCGUCAUACCACUUCUACACCAGGUUUCGUUUAGAAAAUUGCAACUACGAAAUAACAUUAGAAAACACUUUCUGCAAAGACGGAUUCAACGUUGAUGUCACGUUUCAGAAAAAUCAACUCAAUGGCAGCCAAAUAAUAAGGCUCAAGAAAUUGUUUCUACAAUACUCAACAAAUGAAUUGGCGAAAGAUGAGUUUCAUCACACUUGCUAAUAAGACCAAUUAAAGAGCUGUCAUCCUCAAAUUUAAUAAGAGGUAUGAAUCAUGAUCACAACGAUAAUCAGAAGUGUACAAUAUGAAACAGGAAUGGUGCCAGGACUGUGCCCUGAGGAGCACCAGUAGGCCUAUGCGUAACAAAGUGCCAAGAUUGUAAAGCCUCCUAUAUUGGAGAAACAGAACGUGCAUUUAAAACAAGAUUUCUAGAACAUCGAAGAAAGAGCUCUACUUCGUCGG